rnacentral:rRNA from 1 species
CUGGACCUACGGGGCGCAGCAGUGAGGAAUAUUGGUCAAUGGUCGGGAGACUGAACCAGCCAAGCCGCGUGAGGGAUGAAGGUACAGAGUAUCGUAAACCUCUUUUGUCAGGGAACAAAGGCGGGGACGCGUCCCCGGAUGAGUGUACCUGAAGAAAAAGCAUCGGCUAACUCCGUGCCAGCAGCCGCGGUAAUACGGAGGAUGCGAGCGUUAUCCGGAUUUAUUGGGUUUAA